rnacentral:misc_RNA from 1 species
UGCGUACAUUAUCCGGAAGUUCCUAAAGAAAAUGGCGAUGGUUUUCGGAAAUCAUGUGAAGUAGAUAAAAACCUUAGGUUACAAGGAUAAAUGAAAAAGAUGAAGAAAAUAUAGUUGCAGGAUUGCAUGUUUUCGCGUAGUAGAAUAUAGAAUCUAAUUUGAUUCUGAAUGGACCGAGGGUUUUAGGCGUUAUCCCUAUUCAUCAAAAUGUGACAUCGUAAAUUCACUUUGCCCUUGAAAAGUUGUAGAAUAUAUUUAUUGUUAUUAUCAAACGUUCUUCAUCAUUCAUCAUGGGAUCAAGAAGAGACGUGAGAAUAUUACUCGUGGGAGAUGCUGGGGUUGGCAAAACAUCCUUGAUAUUGUCACUUGUAAGUGAAGAGUUUGCUGAAGAUGUACCAUCCCGGGCAGAGGAGAUCACCAUCCCAGCUGAUGUAACACCAGAACACGUACCUACGCACAUCGUAGACUACUCAGCUCAAGAACAAGAUGAAAAUGUGCUUCAAGAAGAAAUUCUUAAGGCGAGUGUCAUCUGUGUGGUGUAUUCUGUCACAGACGAGGAUUCCAUUCAGAGGUUGACCAUGUUCUGGCUGCCGUUACUGCGUGCAAGUCUGGGGGAUGAGCACCGAACCCCAGUCAUUCUUGUGGGGAACAAAGUUGACCUAGCAGACUUUCCAUCUCUAGAGACAAUUCUUCCCAUCAUGAACGACUUUGCAGAAGUGGAAACAUGUGUUGAAUGUUCUGCACGGACUUUGAAAAACAUCAGCGAAGUGUUCUACUAUGCCCAGAAGGCAGUCCUACAUCCCACAGCCCCUGUAUAUAACCCUGAAGAGAAAGAGUUGACGCCUGGUUGCAGGAAGGCUUUAACAAGAAUUUUCAGAAUUUGUGAUUUGGACAAUGAUAACAACCUGAAUGAUCAAGAAGUGAACGCCUUUCAGCAAAAAUGUUUCAAUGCACCUUUACACCCGCAAGCAUUAGAGGAUGUGAAGGCUAUCGUCAGUCGGCACACCAGCGAGGGCAUUUGUGAUGAUGGCAUUUCACUAAAAGGGUUUUUGUUUCUGCAUACACUAUUCAUACAGAAGGGAAGACAUGAAACGACAUGGACGGUGCUACGCAAGUUUGGAUAUGACGACAACCUGCAGUUAACGAAAGACUUCAUUGCGCCUAGGUUGCAAGUGGGACCAGGAAGUACAACUGAGCUGACACACCAAGGAUAUUCUUUUCUCACGAACCUCUUUGACAAGUAUGAUGAGGAUUGUGAUGGCUGCCUGAACCCAACCGAGCUGCAGAAUCUGUUCAGCACCUGCCCCAUCAUGCCGUGGGGGCCCGACGUCAACAACACCGUGUGCACCAACAGUGAGGGCUGGAUCGCCCUGCAGGGAUACCUCGCACAGUGGACAUUAACAACAUUACUAGAUGUUCCAAGGACUUUAGAAUAUCUUGGACACCUUGGCUACCAUUACCACCAUGAAACUCAGCUAUCAGCUAUACAAGUGACACGAGACAAGAAGAUCGACUUAGAAAAGAGACAAACAACAAGAAAUGUAUUUCGAUGUCAUGUAUUGGGUUCCAAGAAUGUUGGGAAGACGUCAUUACUGCAAGGGCUGUUGAGUCGGAACCUGAGGUAUGUGGCCACUCUGAACAAACACUUGCUGUCCAGCUUCACCAUGAACACAGUGCAGGUGUACGGACAAGAGAAGUACCUCAUGCUCCAUGAAGUAGAUGUUGCCAUGUGUGAGAUGUUGACGCCGACGGAGCUAGACUGUGAUGUGGCAUGUCUCGUGUAUGAUGUCACCAAUCCACGGUCGUUUGAAUUCUGUGCUAGAAUGUACUUGAAACAUUUCAUCGACAGUAAGAUCCCCACCCUGAUAGUGGCGUGUAAGGCUGAGCAUCCUGAGGUUCGCCAGGACUAUGAGUUCACCCCAGCCCAGUUCUGUAGCCGCUACAAGUUACCUCCACCUCAAUAUUUCACCUGCAUCGACAAAGUCAACUGGGAUGUUUAUGUCAAACUUGCAACUAUGGCUGCAUAUCCCAAUCUGAAACGUCUAGUACACAUGCUGUUGGUCCAUCAGAAGUCUCUCUGGCUGGAGGAGAAGUUCAGACACCUGAAGGGCCUCUACACUGACGAGAACAAGGUGUACAUCAGGCUAGGGAUUGGCCUUGUAGCACUCACUGGUAUGGGAUUUGCCAUGUAUAAAAUACUCAGAGCAUUAAGAUGAGGACUCUUGUUACUAGGAUUUUAGCACAAAUAUACCGUGUGAUCAAGAGAAAAUGGACUCUCAAGCAUUGUUGAAGUGAAGACCUGCCGUAUCAAAGAUUACCUGCACAACCCUCCAAGUUUUCUUGUUUAGGUUUCAAGCUUUUCUUCUCGGUACAGAAACUGUUGAUGACUUCACAGUAUUUGUUUGAUUUCGUGUCAAGUAUUUAUCAUCUAGCAAGGAAGAGCGAGGAGAGUCUUUGUUAACCUUAUGUGAUGUCGUUCUGUGUUAUCUUGACAAGAUGUGAUGUCGUUGCUAAGAUCAGGGUUUGUGAGAAGUACUACCAAUAUCGACGUCACGGUCAUGUUGAGGGUAUACCUGUAUACAUGUAACCUGCCGCCGGUGACAGGCAGGCGUCAAUGGGAUCGUGUGUUGAGGCUGAGUGUGGCAGCUGGGACGACUCAAGCCUGACAGUGGAGGUAUCGACUCCCCACCCUCACCAUGAACCUAUAGGAACUCAUCAGCAAUCAGUGUUUUUGUUAUAACUUACCAACAACUAUUGGGUAGGUUACGGUAUAUCCAGGCUCUUCUGUUACAGGGUGUACUCACACAUGAAGCUUGUACGUUCUGUGUUCCUGUGUUCGUUCCCAUGUUCCCAACAGCGGCUACACAUGCCCAAACAUUUCUGAACAAUCACACAGCUUGUUGAAUCUACAACAUACUUUUUGUGUAGUUUUAUAAUUAUUGCAACUAUUGUUGACUUGUCUUAUGUUUGCUACAUGAAUAAGUUUGUAUUUUGGUGUGUUUAGUACUUGCUUGUAUAAAUGUCUUCAAGCAAUAAUCAGUCCCAGGCAAGCUUCUACAAGUCUGUCCACUGGGGCAGAUCUAUUACUUUUAGAAGCUCCAUGUGUUUGACGAGGCCACCACCACCAAAGACCGCUCUGCGGUCAGAUUACAUACCUUGUGUAACAUUCCUUAAAAGUACCUGAUACAACAUACAAACUUGCGAAGCUACAUUCUUCUAUAAAUGGUUAUGACUAGAUACUAAAUAAUAUCUUAAGUUGCUGCAUAGGACUGACCUGAUUGAUGAUUGGGGAUGGGGAAGCGGAUUUAAAAAAGAAAAUGUUCCCAAUUAUAUUGGGAAAAAAUAAUUUGGCUAAAAAAGAUUAUUGUUCACCGGACAUGUGUUUUGGACCCAAAUCAUAGAAUCUUAGCUCCUCUUUUGAGAGAGAAAAAUAGUAAUAAAAUUAGACUCAACCAAAAGAAAACAAAAGUUUUCCAUUCAUUUUCCUACAAUGAAAAACUGUUUUGUGUGUACAAGUAUGUUUUUUGUAUCAAUAUCUGACCUCACAUGGUAUCGCAUUGAUCGAAUUGUUUUCUUCAGUGUAUGCAAUAUGUCAGGUUUUUACCUGACUUGUAUGGUGCUUACUCCAUGAACAAGAUUUAAAGAACAGGUAAUGAGACAUGUAGUCACAUGUUUUGUGAUAAUUGUAUCAGUUGGGUCAUUGUCAUCACAGGUACCACAGUAGUGUACCCCGGGUACCUUUCUGUAUGUCAACUGUACCAAGGUAUCUUACUGUAUGUUCCAAUGUAACCUAGAGAGGCAAUAUUUACGGCGUUGAAGUUUGGGUGAAAAGGUAAAUUGCACACUGCCGUAUUUUGCACACGUGAUGUGACAGCCAAGCUGGACCAGUGUCAUGAGUUGUAGUAAUACAGAGCUGUACAUGUAUAGCCAUGCUGGAUAACAUUUGUGUACACAGGAAAGUACCUAGGGUGCAUUUGUUUAUGCAGGAAGUAGGGCUGGGACGAUUCGAUACGUAUCACGAGACCUUGCUCACGAUCCGAUACAUAUCGCGAUACUUGCAUGUGCACUUAUCUGUGGUACGUCAUAGACAGGAUUGCCAAAUACCUGGCACACUAAUGAUUAACAGUUGGGAGUGUCAGGUAUGGCGCAAUGGAUGAAAAUAUUUACGUUUUCACUACUCAUUUUCACUAGUAAUCACUGGUAGUGUUUGCUGUAA